rnacentral:rRNA from 1 species
CCUACGGGCGGCAGCAGUGGGGAAUAUUGGACAAUGGGGGGAACCCUGAUCCAGCCAUGCCGCGUGUGUGAAGAAGGCCCUCGGGUUGUAAAGCACUUUCAGUGAGGAAGAACGCCUGGUGGUUAAUACCCAUCAGGAAAGACAUCACUCACAGAAGAAGCACCGGCUAACUCCGUGCCAGCAGCCGCGGUAAUACGGAGGGUGCGAGCGUUAAUCGGAAUUACUGGGCGUAAAGCGCGCGUAGGUGGCUUGAUAAGCCGGUUGUGAAAGCCCCGGGCUCAACCUGGGAACGGCAUCCGGAACUGUCAAGCUAGAGUGCAGGAGAGGAAGGUAGAAUUCCCGGUGUAGCGGUAAAAUGCGUAGAGAUCGGGAGGAAUACCAGUGGCGAAGGCGGCCUUCUGGACUGACACUGACACUGAGGUGCGAAAGCGUGGGUAGCAAACAGGAUUAGAUACCCGAGUAGUC